rnacentral:rRNA from 1 species
UGGGGAAUCUUCCGCAAUGGACGAAAGUCUGACGGAGCAACGCCGCGUGAGUGAAGAAGGUUUUCGGAUCGUAAAGCUCUGUCUUUUAGGACGAACGUGCAAUUUGUGAAUAAUGAGUUGUAAUGACGGUACUAGAGGAGGAAGCCACGGCUAACUACGUGCCAGCAGCCGCGGUAAUACGUAGGUGGCGAGCGUUGUCCGGAAUUAUUGGGCGUAAAGGGCGCGUAGGCGGAUAAUUAAGUCUAACUUAAAAGUGCGGGGCUCAACCCCGUGAUGGGCUAGAUACUGGUUAUCUUGAGUGCAGGAGAGGAAAGUGGAAUUCCUAGUGUAGCGGUGAAAUGCGUAGAUAUUAGGAGGAACACCAGUGGCGAAGGCGACUUUCUGGACUGUGUCUGACGCU